rnacentral:lncRNA from 1 species
UGGAGGCGCUGGUGGUAAAGAGAUAAGAGAGGGUGAAAUCUAGGGAAAACUUCCGGAAUAGAAAGUUUCCUUAAUGAUCGGGAACAGUCAGACGCUUGUUCUCUUCGGGAACAACCUUCGGGUUGGUCUAGAUGGCUGUUCUGCAUCGUAUCCUUCAAAACGACAUUUGACUUCCUGAAUCUCUCUUCUUUGCUCUUUCACAUGCUCCAAACCUGGAAUGAUAUCAAUUAAACACGGAUUAGGACUGAGAAUUAGCUCAAAGCACACAUAUAAUG